rnacentral:lncRNA from 1 species
UCUAACGAUCGGACUAUUUAAAUAAACCAAAAUUUUAUAUAAAGUAUUAAUUAACUUUUAACAACUAAGACAACAAAUUUUAAUUGCAAAUUCGUUACAAGUCGAGAUAUCUCUAAAAUCCUAAAAAUAGCUCCAAAUCCUUACUUACAUACACCCAUGUGCAAUUUUCUUCAUAUCUUACAAACUAAACCUUCAAAUACCAUAAAAUUUUGAUAUAUAGCUUUUUAACCUAAUAACACACACUUUUGGAAAUUUUGAGCCAAAAAUUCAUCUAAAAACUCAAGAUAUGGCUCCAACCAUUACUAUCAACAAAACGACUCACUUAUUGCCUUUGAAUUACAUGUUCU